AUUGAACGCUGGCGGCCGGCCUAACACAUGCAAGUCGCACGAGUGGCGGACGGGUGAGUAAUGUCUGGGCAACUGCCCGAUGGAGGGGGAUAACUACUGGAAAACGUAGCCAAUACCGCAUACCAUCGGAUGUGCCCAGAUGGGAUUAGCUAGUAGGUGGGGUAAUGGCUCACCUAGGCGACGAUCCCUAGCUGGUCUGAGAGGAUGACCAGACACACGGGAACUGAGACACGGUCCAGAGGCCGACGGGAGGCAGCAGUGGGGAAUAGUGCACAAUGGGCGCAAGCCUGAUGCAGCCAUGCCGCGUGUAUGAAGAAGGCCGUCGGGUUGUAAAGUACUGUCAUCGAGGAGGCGUGACUCGCAGAAGAAGCACCGGCUAACUCCGUGCCAGCAGCCGCGGUAAUAC
rnacentral:rRNA from 1 species